GUCGACGGCCAUUACCACGCUGAAUGUGCCGGAUCUCAUACGAUCUUGGAAGCUAAGCAGGGUGGGGCUUGGUUACUACUUGAAUGGGAGAAAGAAAAACAUGGUUUGACA
rnacentral:rRNA from 1 species